rnacentral:rRNA from 1 species
AUUGAACGCUGGCGGCAUGCUUUACACAUGCAAGUCGAACGGCAGCGCGGGCUUCGGCCUGGCGGCGAGUGGCGAACGGGUGAGUAAUACAUCGGAACGUGCCCAGUAGUGGGGGAUAGCUCGGCGAAAGCCGGAUUAAUACCGCAUACGACCUGAGGGUGAAAGCGGGGGAUCUUCGGACCUCGCGCUAUUGGAGCGGCCGAUGGCAGAUUAGCUAGUUGGUGGGGUAAAGGCCUACCAAGGCGACGAUCUGUAGCUGGUCUGAGAGGACGACCAGCCACACUGGGACUGAGACACGGCCCAGGCGCCUACGGGAGGCAGCAGUGGGGAAUUUUGGACAAUGGGCGAAAGCCUGAUCCAGCAAUGCCGCGUGUGUGAUGAAGGCCUUCGGGUUGUAAAGCACUUUUGGCGGGAACGAAAAGGACUGUGCCAAUACCACGGUUCGAUGACGGUACCCGCAGAAUAAGCACCGGCUAACUACGUG